GUGGGGGUGUGGGUGGCUGGGGGGGAGAGGAGAGAGGGUAGGAAGGAAAAAAUUGGAGGUAGGGUGAGGGAAGGGGGAGGGUUGAAGGGAAACUAAUGAAACAGAGGACAAAGGAGAAUAACAAGUCAAAAGCAAUGCAUGUAAAUACAGAGCAAGCAAGUAGGAAAGCUAGGCAUAGCACAGCAAAAGAGAGCACAGCAACAGAAGGCAAAGAAAUGACAAAAAGCAACCUUGCAGGAAUGGAGGACUCUGGCCAGAGCUGUGCCCCUGCUUGCCACAGGAGCUGCGCGGGAGGAGAAGAAUGUGGGCCAAAAGGAAUGGAGGACUCUGGCCAGAGCUGUGCCCCUGCUUGCCACAGGAGCUGCGCGGGAGGAGAAGAAUGUGGGCCAAAAGGAAUGGAGGACUCUGGCCAGAGCUGUGCCCCUGCUUGCCACAGGAGCUGCGCGGGAGGAGAAGAAUGUGGGCCAAAAGGUAAGAGGAGCUCCUUUGGGUUCUGGGCUUGAAGCAAAGCUGAGAAGCCAUGCCCGGGAGGGGUGUGGGUAGCUACAGGCAGCUUGCUAUCUCCCCAAGAGAUGAGGUGUGUGGGCUAGGCACCGGGCAGGAGUGCUGGCCAGAAGCAAGCAUCUCUGUGGAGGAAGGCAAAGGGCGGAGGAGGUUCAAGGGUAGCUACCCGGCAUGGCCUUGCUCAGCAAGGGGAGGAAAAGCGUGAAGGGCACGAGAAGGGGACAGAGAAGGGCAGGCAGUAGGCGUGAAGCUGUGAGCAGAGUAGAGAGCAACUUGGCAGAGCAGCACGCAGAGUAGGCAAGUGUUGGGGUUUGGCGUGAGUAGCAGCAAAAGCCCAUAGCAUCAAGGAGCAGGAAGUGAGGAGAAGGUAAGUGAAGGGCAGGCAAGGUACUGGGAGGCAAAGGCAAGGGGAAAGGGGAGGGUAAGGGAGAAAGAGGGGAUGGGGAGGGGAGGGGAUGGGUGAAGAGCAGAGCGGAGGGAAGGGCUGAGGGGAGGGCUGAAGGCAAACCUUGGAAAAAGAAAAAAGAAAAAUAAAAAAAAAAUAUGAAAAGAGAAAAAGAAAAGAAAAAUAGAAAAGAGAAAAAAUGAAAAGAAAAAAAGAAAAAAUGAAUGAAAAGAGAAAGAAAAAGAAAAAAGAAAUGAACAAAAAGACAAAAAAGAGAAAAGAAAAAAGAAAAUGCAAAAAAAGAAAAAAGAGAAAGACAAAAAAAAAAACAAAAAAAGAAAAGAAAAAAAAGAAAAAAAAAUAAAAAAGAGAAAAGAAAAAUAUGAAAAAGAAAAAGGAAAGAAGAAAAAAUAAUAGAUGAAAACAGAAAAAACAAAAAAAAC
rnacentral:lncRNA from 7 species